rnacentral:rRNA from 2 species
UCUAAACGAUUGAACCUCCUUCGGGAGGGGAUUAUUGGCGAACGGGUGAGUAACACGUGGGCAAUCUGCCCUGCACUCUGGGACAAGCCCUGGAAACGGGGUCUAAUACCGGAUACUGAUCAUCUUGGGCAUCCUUGGUGAUCGAAAGCUCCGGCGGUGCAGGAUGAGCCCGCGGCCUAUCAGCUUGUUGGUGAGGUAAUGGCUCACCAAGGCGACGACGGGUAGCCGGCCUGAGAGGGCGACCGGCCACACUGGGACUGAGACACGGCCCAGACUCCUACGGGAGGCAGCAGUGGGGAAUAUUGCACAAUGGGCGAAAGCCUGAUGCAGCGACGCCGCGUGAGGGAUGACGGCCUUCGGGUUGUAAACCUCUUUCAGCAGGGAAGAAGCGAAAGUGACGGUACCUGCAGAAGAAGCGCCGGCUAACUACGUGCCAGCAGCCGCGGUAAUACGUAGGGCGCGAGCGUUGUCCGGAAUUAUUGGGCGUAAAGAGCUCGUAGGCGGCUUGUCGCGUCGGUUGUGAAAGCCCGGGGCUUAACCCCGGGUCUGCAGUCGAUACGGGCAGGCUAGAGUUCGGUAGGGGAGAUCGGAAUUCCUGGUGUAGCGGUGAAAUGCGCAGAUAUCAGGAGGAACACCGGUGGCGAAGGCGGAUCUCUGGGCCGAUACUGACGCUGAGGAGCGAAAGCGUGGGGAGCGAACAGGAUUAGAUACCCUGGUAGUCCACGCCGUAAACGGUGGGCACUAGGUGUGGGCGACAUUCCACGUCGUCCGUGCCGCAGCUAACGCAUUAAGUGC